rnacentral:rRNA from 1 species
CGGGACCCGCACAAGCGGUGGAUGAUGUGGUUUAAUUCGAUGCAACGCGAAAAACCUUACCCACCUUUGACAUGGCAGGAAUCCCGAAGAGAUUUGGGAGUGCUCGAAAGAGAACCUGCACACAGGUGCUGCAUGGCUGUCGUCAGCUCGUGUCGUGAGAUGUUGGGUUAGGUCCCGCAACGAGCGCAACCCUUGCCAUUAGUUGCUACGAAAGGGCACUCUAAUGGGACUGCCGGUGACAAACCGGAGGAAGGUGGGGAUGACGUCAAGUCCUCAUGGCCCUUAUAGGUGGGGCUACACACGUCAUACAAUGGCCGGUACAGAGGGUAGCCAACCCGCGAGGGGGAGCCAAUCCCACAAAGCCGGUCGUAGUCCGGAUCGCAGUCUGCAACUCGACUGCGUGAAGUCGGAAUCGCUAGUAAUCGCGGAUCAGCAUGUCGCGGUGAAUACGUUCCCGGGUCUU